GAAUCAAAGGUUGAAGAGAGAUAUAUCUGAAAACUGGAAUAAGAAGCAAAUAAAUAUCAUCCUGGCUUCAUGGAACCAAGUCUGUCUGUGGCUUCCCAUGUCUUUCUCCAAAGUUAUCCAGAGGGUUGUGAUUUUGCCUGCUUAGUGUCUCAUCAACAAAGAAAUAUUAUUUGCUAUAUAAAAAGUUAAUCUUCAUGGCCAUAGCUUUUAUUCAUUAACUGUGAUUUUUGUUGAUUAAAACAUUACAGAUUUUCAUGUUCUUGCAGCCAUCAGAAGUGGCAGGAAAGCCUCACUGACAUAUUUUCCAGGGCAUUCUAUGUUCAUGCAACUUGAAAUUAUAUCUGUGGUCUUCAAAUUGUCUUUUGUCAUGUGGCUAAAUGACUAAUAAACAAUUCAAGUGAAA
rnacentral:sRNA from 1 species